rnacentral:rRNA from 1 species
GAUGAACGCUGGCGGCGUGCCUAAUACAUGCAAGUCGAGCGAACAGACGAGGAGCUUUCUCCUCUGACGUUAUCGGCGGACGUGUUAGUAACACGUGGAUAACCUACCUUUAAUACUUGGAUAACUUCGGGAAACCGUAUCUAAUACCGGAUAAUAUAUUUAACCUCAUGUUUCCAUAGUUAUUUACGGUUUUUCUUUCACUUUUAGAUGGAUCCGCGCCGCAUUAGCUAGUUGGUAAGGUAACGGCUUAACAAGGCGACGAUGCGUAGCCGACCUGAGAGGGUGAUCGGACAAACGGGAAGGGAGACACGGACCAGACAACUACGGGAGGGAGCAGUAGGGAAUCUGACGGAAGGGGCGAAAGCAUGACGGAGCAAAGCGGAGUGAGAGAUGAAGGUGUGCGGAUCGUAAAAGUGUGUAAGUAGGGAAGAAAAAAUGUGUAAGUAAAUAUGCAGGGAUUGACGGUAACGAAAAAGAAAGCCACGGCUAACUACGUG